GACGAACGCUGGCGGCGUGCCUAAUACAUGCAAGUAGAACGCUGAAGGAGGAGCUUGCUUCUCUGGAUGAGUUGCGAACGGGUGAGUAACGCGUAGGUAACCUGCCUGGUAGCGGGGGAUAACUAUUGGAAACGAUAGCUAAUACCGCAUAAUAGCAGUUGUUGCAUGACAACUGUUUGAAAGGUGCAAUUGCACCACUACCAGAUGGACCUGCGUUGUAUUAGCUAGUUGGUGGGGUAACGGCUCACCAAGGCGACGAUACAUAGCCGACCGGAGAGGGUGACCGGCCACCCUGGGACUGAGACACGGCCCAGACUCCUACGGGAGGCAGCAGUAGGGAAUCUUCGGCAAUGGACGGAAGUCUGACCGAGCAACGCCGCGUGAGUGAAGAAGGUUUUCGGAUCGUAAAGCUCUGUUGUAAGAGAAGAACGAGUGUGAGAGUGGAAAGUUCACACUGUGACGGUAUCUUACCAGAAAGGGACGGCUAACUACGUG
rnacentral:rRNA from 1 species